rnacentral:rRNA from 1 species
AUGAACGCUAGCUACAGGCUUAACACAUGCAAGUCGAGGGGCAGCAUUUUAGUUUGCUUGCAAACUGAAGAUGGCGACCGGCGCACGGGUGAGUAACACGUAUCCAACCUGCCGAUAACUCCGGAAUAGCCUUUCGAAAGAAAGAUUAAUACCGGAUGGCAUACGAAUAUCGCAUGAUAUUUUUAUUAAAGAAUUUCGGUUAUCGAUGGGGAUGCGUUCCAUUAGUUUGUUGGCGGGGUAACGGCCCACCAAGACUACGAUGGAUAGGGGUUCUGAGAGGAAGGUCCCCCACAUUGGAACUGAGACACGGUCCAAACUCCUACGGGAGGCAGCAGUGAGGAAUAUUGGUCAAUGGGCGCGAGCCUGAACCAGCCAAGUAGCGUGAAGGAUGAAGGCUCUAUGAGUCGUAAACUUCUUUUAUAUGGGAAUAAAGUUUUCCACGUGUGGAAUUUUGUAUGUACCAUAUGAAUAAGGAUCGGCUAACUCCGUGCCAGCAGCCGCGGUAAUACGGAGGAUCCGAGCGUUAUCCGGAUUUAUUGGGUUUAAAGGGAGCGUAGGUGGAUUGUUAAGUCAGUUGUGAAAGUUUGCGGCUCAACCGUAAAAUUGCAGUUGAAACUGGGAGUCUUGAGUACAGUAGAGGUGGGCGGAAUUCGUGGUGUAGCGGUGAAAUGCUUAGAUAUCACGAAGAACUCCGAUUGCGAAGGCAGCUCACUAGACUGUCACUGACACUGAUGCUCGAAAGUGUGGGUAUCAAACAGGAUUAGAUACCCUGGUAGUCCACACAGUAAACGAUGAAUACUCGCUGUUUGCGAUAUACAGUAAGCGGCCAAGCGAAAGCAUUAAGUAUUCCACCUGGGGAGUACGCCGGCAACGGUGAAACUCAAAGGAAUUGACGGGGGCCCGCACAAGCGGAGGAACAUGUGGUUUAAUUCGAUGAUACGCGAGGAACCUUACCCGGGCUUAAAUUGCAACAGAAUAUAUUGGAAACAGUAUAGCCGUAAGGCUGUUGUGAAGGUGCUGCAUGGUUGUCGUCAGCUCGUGCCGUGAGGUGUCGGCUUAAGUGCCAUAACGAGCGCAACCCUUAUCUUUAGUUACUAACAGGUUAUGCUGAGGACUCUAGAGAGACUGCCGUCGUAAGAUGUGAGGAAGGUGGGGAUGACGUCAAAUCAGCACGGCCCUUACGUCCGGGGCUACACACGUGUUACAAUGGGGGGUACAGAAGGCGGCUACCUGGUGACAGGAUGCUAAUCCCAAAAACCUCUCUCAGUUCGGAUCGAAGUCUGCAACCCGACUUCGUGAAGCUGGAUUCGCUAGUAAUCGCGCAUCAGCCAUGGCGCGGUGAAUACGUUCCCGGGCCUUGUACACACCGCCCGUCAAGCCAUGAAAGCCGGGGGUACCUGAAGUACGUAAUCGCAAGGAGCGUCCUAGGGUAAAACUGGUAAUUGGGGCU